CCUACGGGAGGCAGCAGUGAGGAAUAUUGGUCAAUGGGCGCGAGCCUGAACCAGCCAAGUAGCGUUAAGGAUGACUGCCCUACGGGUUGUAAACUUCUUUUAUAAAGGAAUAAAGUGCGGCACGUGUGCCUUUUUUGAUGUACUUUAUGAAUAAGGCUCGGCUAACUCCGUGCCAGCAGCCGCGGUACUACGGAGGAUCCGAGCGUUAUCCGGAUUUAUUGGGUUGAAAGGGAGCGUAGACGGGUUGUUAAGUCAGUUGUUAAAGUUUGCGGUUCAAACGUCAAAUUGCAAUUGAUACUGGCAGCCUGGAGUGCAGUGGAGGCAGGCGGAAUUCGUGGUGUAGCGGUGAAAUGCUUAGAUAUCACGAAGAACCCCGAUUGCGAAGGCAGCCUACUAAACUGCCACUGACAUUGAUGCUCGAAAGUGUGGGUAUCGAACAGGAUUAGAUACCCGAGUAGUC
rnacentral:rRNA from 1 species